rnacentral:rRNA from 1 species
AUUGAACGCUGGCGGCAGGCCUAACACAUGCAAGUCGAGCGAGCGGCGGACGGGUGAGUAAUGUCUGGGAAACUGCCUGAUGGAGGGGGAUAACUACUGGAAACGGUAGCUAAUACCGCAUACCAUCAGAUGUGCCCAGAUGGGAUUAGCUCGUAGGUGGGGUAACGGAUCACCUAGGCGACGCUCCCUAGCUGGUCGGAGAGGAUGAACAUCCACACGGGAACUGAGACACGGUCCAUACUCCAACGGGAGGCAGCAGUGGGGAAUAUUGGACAAUGGGCGCAAGCCUGAUGCAGCCAUGCCGCGUGUGUGAAGAAGGCCUUCGGGUUGUAAAGCACUUUCAGCGGGGAGGCGUUACCCUCAGAAGAAGCACCGGCUAACUCCGUGCCAGCAGCCGCGGUAAUAC